GGGGGGGCAGCGCGCGCAGAGCCGCGCCUCCGGCGGCGCAGGGACUGGUCGGCGCUCGCCGGGAGCCGAGCGAGGAUGCGACCGACACUCACGGACACGUCAGGACCAGAGCACUGGACACAGGUGACAGGUGAAGACAGGAACUCAAAGACAGGGCUCGAAGACAGCUGCAUGUGUUUCAAUGAUCACAAGAUCUUCUCCUUCCCAGAGGCUAGUGAAGAUUAGAAAGAAAAAAACCGCACUCGUGCUGAAAUGUUCUCUGAGCUCAUGCUGUCCUCCCACACUGACAGAGCACAGAUGAAUGCGUGGAGGCAAAUAAUGUCAGAGUUCAGGAAAGCACAGAAUGACCGGGAGGAGAGGUGGUGGGCUGAAGAGAGUAAGUGGCGGGCUGAAGACAGGGCUGAAGCUCAAAUGUGGCGGCAGCUUGAUGAGAGGAGGCAGGAUUCAAUGCUGAGGCUGCUGGAGGAUCAAACCAGUAUGCUCCAGUGUAUGGUUGAGCUGCAGCAAAAGGCAGCUGGAGCACAGACUGCCACUACAGCCCCUGUGUAACCAACUGCCCUCCUCCCCAAGUUCCAUAGCCUCCAUCCCAGACACCCAAGAACACGGUGGGGGGGCCUCCAGCCAACCAGCCACUCCACCACAGAGGAUUGCCCAAAAAACAGAAGGCUGGCAUUCAAUAAAUUUUAAAGUUGUAAACUUUUAAAGUGCUGUGUGGCAUUUUCCUUCCCUCCUCCACCACCCCUCCUAGGCUACCUUGGUAGUCAUCCCCCUAUUUGUGUGAUGAAUGAAUA